rnacentral:lncRNA from 1 species
UAUUGAGAAAGUAGACAGUUGUUUUAAGGGAUGUGAUCAAACGUGCAUGAAGUACUGAUGCUAAAGAACAAAAGAUGAAGUGUCCUGAGAGGAGAAAAGGAACAAGGAUUGGCUUUUCAAGAUAUACCUAUCAUAUAUGAAUAAACAAAAUUCAAUGGUGAAAAUUAAAACCAUUGGCUUAAAAGCAUAUUAUUUCAUAUUUAAGCAUAUGUUUUGUUUCGAUAUAAAUGUAGUUUCAAGUUUUUGCAUGUAGUUGAUUAUGAGCAAUAUGUCAAAAACAUCAAUGUUUCUCCUUUUAAGCAAUACGAGAAUGAAGAGUUAUGUCACAAUUUUUGCCUUAGUAUAGAUUAUGUGUGUGCAUUUGUGGUGGAAUGGGUGAUUAAGGGUUGAAUAAUCUCACAAACAAAUUUUAUUUCAAAUAUUUCUAAGGCACCAAAUUAUCUUUUCGAUGGUUUUGUUGAACUUAUCUCGGUCCACAUGCACCUUAUAAUUAUUGAACUAAAAUUUAUCAAUACAAUCAUAAUCAUUAUAUAUAUAUAUAUAUAUAUUUUUUUUUUUGGACAACUAAGGUUACACCUAAUCUUAUGCCUCCCAUAUUUUAACCUAAUAUUAUUAUAUUUGACUUUUUAUAACAGAUUUAUAUAAUAAAAUAUUUUUACUUGCAUUUUCUAUAAUGUCGCAAAAGCACUGGUUUUUUUAUAAAAAAGGAAUUGUAUUAUUUUUAGUGACGCAAUGCAAUUUGUCGCAAAAGAUAUUUGUAACGGUUUAAAAUUAAAUUUUAGCAACAACAUUAUUUAUCAUUGAAACAUCAUCUUUAGUAGCGAGUGGAAUAGUCACUAUAAACGAUCAAUAAUCACAUAACAUAUAAUCAAUAUAUAUAUAUAUAUAUAUAUAUAUAUUUAUUUAUUUAUUGGGACUAUUAAGGUUGCACACCUUACCUUAAUCUUAUGCCUCCCAUUUUUUAUAACUUUGAAUAUUUAGUGAUGUGUCCUAUCUAAUCUUAUAACCUAAAACAAAGCAGAAGCUGCAAGAAGCUGCAAGAUGUAAUGUGUUAUCGGUAACUGCCGUAAGGUGGCUGCUGAGGGGCAUAACUACCAGCACCCAUCAUCGGGUUGUAUACGUCGGGCAGGGGUUGCUGCAUAUAGAAUCCUUGUUGCCCCCAUAUCCACAUUCGUUCCAAUGCCACCCGUACCUUCAUAGCCUCUCAUCCCCAUCCCCAUCCCCAUGCCCAUGCCAGAAUUGGGGUUCAUGCCCAUUCCCAUGCCCGAACCGGAUCCUGACAUUGCAUUUGGAGGUGGCCUUAGCGCACUCCCUAUUCCAGAAACCAGAUCCCAUAGCUUUAACCAUGUUAAUGAUAGACACGAUUGGAGCUGUACUAGGCUUCUCCAUCCUCUUCUCCUUCCUAUUGAGGGCUUCAUUAAUCAACACCAAUGUAUGCCAAUGGGUUUGGUUUAGGUCCAGAUAUGUUUAAAUUAGAAAAAAUAGAAUAAAACUUAUGCCUCCCAUUUUUUAUACCUAAUAAACAAAAAUAUAUUUCAUAAUCAAUUUUUUAACGAUGAAUUGUUUGAAUGUAACACCCAAGUUUUAUUCAAAAAAAAAAAAUUCCAUUAAAAGACUUGUUUAUAGAAAAGUUUUGAAAUUCUAAAAAUAGUUAUGGGGAAAACAUCCACUUCCUACCCAAAAUAAAUAAGAAGAAAAUAUUAUUUUUUAAUAGAAAAAAGAAAAGAUCAUUUAGGGACACAUGCUAUAUAUACAUAUGUGCCAGUUGCUAUGGAGGCUUGUGCUACCACACCCUUCAUUCCCAUUAAUGUGUGUGGUGCUUAAUUAGGUGAGAAUGUGUCUUUCAGUUCAUCAUAUAAUUCUCCUUAUAUAUGGAUUAUUCCAACCAUUUUUGUAAAUAUUAUUCCUAUAAAUUAUAUUUAUUUUUUUUUAGUUUGUGCCGUUUGGUACAAUUUUUCAUAUUCUUAAUCGCGUCCAAACGCAUCCGUCCACUUCUAUGUUUCACCUGUUUUUUUAAUUGCUUUAUACAAUUGUCCCUUUUUCCUUUUAAUCACCCAACAAUUUUCUCUUUUUUCUUUUCAUCACCCAACCAUCUAUAGUUGGAUAACGAUUUAGGGAUGAAUUCAUGUAGCAUUAUUUUUUAAUUUGUUGAUUUGUUGAUGGCAGUGAAUUUCACAACAAUUUUUUAAACCACUUUUAUUGGUGUAUCAAUUGCUUGCACUAAAGGUGGGAGAUUGGUUUGUUUCCAAAUCAAAUUCUUUUUUACUUUCUCAAUGAUAGAUAAUAGAAAUGUGUGUGAUUUAAGAAACACUUCUAUUUUUUUUUUAAAGGUAAGCGUGUUUAGACGUUUAUCGUAAUCUCUAACUUGUUUGAUUAUUUAUAAAAGAAAAGGAAAAUUUAAUCAAAAUAGUUAAAACUUUAGGUAUUAGUGAUAGGUAGAGCUUGCAACCUUCAAACUUUAAGAUUUUUUUUUCAGUAGAACCUAUUUUAAUGUAAAGAACUAUUUUCGAAAGGAAACUUGCAACAAUUAUUUUUAAAAAUAUAUAGAAAAAAAAGUUAUUAAAGUCAAAAUUCUAAACAUAUUUAUUUUAUAAAAAGAUUAAAAACAACUAUAAAUUCAACCACUUGCCAUGUGUGAUGUUUUUAAUUUUUAGCUAAUUAUAUAGAUUGAACGAUCAUGCAUUCUUGAAAACAAAUACGCUGUUUUACUUUUUUGUUUUAAAGCUAAACUAUAAUUUAAAGGGAGAAGAGAAAAUAUUUUAUUUAUUUAUUUAGUUAUAUGAAAAUUUCAAUUAAUUUGUUUGGUAGAAGAAGAAAUAGGAACAAAUUAUUUGGUAUAUAUAAAAAAUCAUGACAUAUAUUCUCUUGGUACAAUAUUUUUUAUAUUUUUCCACAAUAUAUCUAAAAGUUUUAACGCUAUAUUUGCAAAAAAAAAACAAAGGUACGUACUUAAGGUAUGUUUGAAUUGAAUUAAGAAAAAAAUAUUUUUCCAAUAAUACAUUUUCUUUUAAACUUUUUUUAAAAAAAUGAAUUUAAAAUUUAAACACUUAAUGUUUGGUUAGUGUUUAUAUGUGAAUUUUGGUUUUAAAUAUUUCUCCAAAAUAGAUUAUUUUAUAAAUAUUUUUUAAAAAAAUCCUUUAUUUUAAUUUGUCAAACACUACCAUUUUCUUCAAAAUAGUUUUUUCUUUUUUUUUUUUACAAAACUAAACACUUUAUAAUCUAAACCAAACACCACACUCUUAGUCUACCAACUUUUUUUUCGUAAAAACUCAAAAGUGAUUUUCAAAAGUUUUUUUUUCUUCUUUUCACUGAUUUAACUUUUCCAUGCAAAUAUCUUCGAGAGAAAAAAUAUAUUUAUAUUUUAAACGUUUCAUUUUACAAAUAUGUUGGAGAAAAGUUAUUUUUCUAAUAAAGUGAAAAAUACUCUAAAGUGCUUCGGUGAGAAAGUAGUAAUUAUAAUAUAGAGUGAAUUUGAGUUGAUUGUUUAAUUUAAAUACUUUUAAAGGUGUAAAAUCAAAUCGAUUGAUUUUAAGCAUUUGAAUUAAGUUCUUUUCUCUCUAUAUACAAUAAUUAAUGGAAAAUAGUUCUUAUAUGGAUUUCAUGUUUACAACUCUUUAAGGCUAUGGUACCUAAAAUUGGAGUGGAUAAUAAUUUUGUUUUUUAUUAAAAGGUUUAAAAAUAAAGAUAAUGCUUAUAAACAUUACUUCUUCCUUGACUCGUAAAUUCUAUAUUUUGUUAUUAACUUUUUACUAAUGUUUAAAAUAUUUAAAAAACGAGUAUAAAAAUAGUAGUUUGUUUUUAAUAAUAUUUUUGGAUUUUAUAGUUUGACUAGAAAUUUUGAAUUGUUUUUUUUUUUUUUCAAAAACGAUGAAACCUAUAAUUAAAAGUUGGUAUGAAACCACCAUUAAUUUCAAAAACAUAAGAUGGAAACCAUUAUAAAGUGAAGUAAUUAAGUAUAUAGUGAGUUGUUAGAUGAAAAAAAGGUAACUAUAAUUUAAAAGGAAAACUAAAGAAAGAAAAAGGAAAAGUAAAUGGUAAAGGAUAUGUUUAAUUAUGCCAUUCUCCAUACUAAACCUUAAGAAAAGAAAAGAAAAACGAGAAUCAUCUCACAUGUAAUAAUAUAACUAAGCAUCAUGAUAUACUUAUAGUUUCCAUGGAACAAAUAUAGCGAAGAAGAUGGAAAAUUAGAAAAAAUCUAAAUUAAAAAGAAAAAAAGUAAUUAUUCAACGAGAUCGUCAUAAUAUAUAACAAUUCUUUUAACUAUAAAUGAAUAAAGAUUAAAAAAAUUUGUUCCCAUAAUUUUCUAAUAAUCAAUAGAUACAAAUUCGAGAUACUUUUGUUGUUUCUCCCUCGAACAAUUUAACGGAUGAAAAGAACUAGAAAAUAUAAAAGAAGAAAGUUGGGUGGUAGGUUUAGUUUUGAUUUUGGAGUGAUAGAGAUAUUGUCGAGGGGUGAAAUCUAAAUAAUAUUUAUGGUAUAAUUGUCUAAAUGAAAUGGAUUUGUGAGAAAAACUAAAAUUAGACAUUGGUGACCUUACGAUAUGGGUCGGGAGACAACCCGGGAUAUGAAUUUCCUCUCUUCUUUGUUUCACUCUUCUAAUUCUAUUGUCCAACUCCAAGGAAUCACAUGCUUGGUUCCUAACAAACAUCUCUCUCUUUCUCUCUUCUCCCUUCUUUUUGCUUAAUAUAACCAUAUACUUGAUCGUUAAUGGCACAGUUAGCCUUUGGUGUUCCAAAAUUAACGAUCGGAUAAAGCAACAAAGAGUAAACUCAAGAGAAAUCGAUAUAGAGAUUUAUUUACUUCACUAAUAGUGUGUUUAACUACGUCCUUUUGCAAAUAGAAAAAUCAUAUUUUAUUAAGUUUAACAUUGUGUUAACAAUGGGUUAGUUGGUCAUCUUUCUAAACCCUAAAGUAAAAAACACAAAUAACAUAAAUAUGAAAUAAAACUACGUUUAAGGCACUGACGUACAAAUGCUUAGUGGUUUGAAGCACUAGAUAACAAAUUUAAGACCACCUCAAAAUUAAUUUAGAAUAAUUUUUAAUUUUAUUUUAUGUUUGAGUUGUUUAUUUAUUUAUUUAUUUAUUGUGUUAUUUUAUUUGAAAUUAGUUAAAUGUAUGUAUGUAAUAUGUAUAUUUAUUUAAGAUUAUGGUUUUUGGUGGAAAUAGUAUCGGUUAUGUAUAUAUAUUUGAUGGUGAAAAGAAAAGAUUAUCGUUGGAAGAUAAUUAAUGGGGGAAGGGUUGAUGUGAUGGGUGGUGAUGAGAUAACAAAAGUCGAACCUCUCGUUUGGAUGGUGAAAGUAUAACCACUAUGUUAAUUGAGUUAUGUUCGUGUUGACAUGUUGACAUUUUAUCACUAAGUUAUGUUCAUGUUGGCAUUUUUAUUAAAAAAAUAAAUUUAAAAGCUAAAGAGUUCAAAUAGAUAUGGUUUUUUAACUUUCAAUAUAUUAGUGUCGUCUCUUUUUUACUUUCUUUAAUCUAAAUUCAGUAUUGCGUAAUUUAUUAGACACAACAUUUGAAAGUUUAAUAAAAUAAUAAAAUAUAUAAUUAUAUCGGCUUCAUCAACAUAAAAUACGUUAUAAACACUAACACAACCGUUUAAAAAGAAAAAGUAUGUAAAACUACUGUUAACAAAAAGCAAAAUUUGCAAAAUUUUCUAGUACUCAUUUGAUUAAAACUAUAUUAUAGCUAGGAUAUAAUCUUAGAUUUCAAAUUUCAACAAAGAAGUGAAACUAAGAUACAAGUAAUUUUUUGGACAAUAUAUACUUAACAACAUUUUGUCAAAAUUCAUUGUUAAGCUAAGGUAAAGCUUACUCAACGAUAAAGAUGCACUCUAGCUAACCCAAAAUAAGUUAAUUUAAAAUUAAAAAGUGUAUAUAUGUGCAAGGUACAGGGUAAUACACUAGGUGAGAUUAAAUAGGAGUUGUAAUACACUAGGUGAGAUUAAAUAGGAGUACUCCUCUUCUUGAUUUUUCAUCAAAUAACAUGUUUUAUUCACUAUUUUAUGAAAACUAUUUAUGUGAAUCACAUAAUAUGUCAAUUUCUCGACAUAAAAAAGAGAGGUUAAAUUACUAUAUCUUAUUAAUUUGUACUAUCCAAUUUUCCGCAUCAUUUUUUUAAUUAAUUAAAGGUCUAUCUCGAACCGUAAAAAUAAUAAGUAUAUGAUAGUUAAAUCAAGUGAUUAUCUUCUUUAAAAAGUGAUUGUGAUACUUAGAUAGAAGGGUGUUUUAUAUUUUAAUAUAAGGUUAGUUGCAAAAUAUAACAAUUAGAUUUAAAAUAAUUAAACAUAUAACAUUUAUAAAAAAAUUGCAAAUAUAGCAAAAUCUGUCAUUAUAAGUUAUGUUACAAAUAUUGGUAUAUGAUUGAUAAACCAUAAGAAUGUAUCAGUAAUAAUCUAUCACAGAUGAACUUUUCUAUAUUUGCAAUUUUUAAAAAAUGUUGUUGUAUGCCUAAUUAUUAUUAUUCCUAAAAUUACUAUCCCUUAUAAUUUCGAUUACAUUAACUUAUAAAUUGGUUUCUAACUCCACACAGAAAAUGUGGGCUGUUAAAGUUCUUACAGGAAAAAUGGGACCUACUGUUAGAAAAAAUAAUACUAAUUAUACAAACCAUAACUAACGAACACCUUUAUUGAAUUUUGCUUGCUUAUAUAAUAACUUCCUACCCACGACCCAAAACCACACAAGGAUAACUCACAUCCAAAUUUGAGCAAAAAUGAGGUCAGUUGUUCUCAUUUGCUUCAUUUUGAGCUUAGUUGCCGGAAAAUCCACAGCUGUAAUAGAGGUGUCGAAGUGCUAUCUCAACUGCAUGGCAGUGUGUGCUGUCCCAUCAAGCCUUCUCACGGUAGGCCUUUGUGCUUUAAAAUGCACAGCUGAUUGCAUUGCCAUUGCUUCUUCCCCUAUGAAUUUGAACCGUGUGGACACUCGUUACUUUUGUAAACUUGGUUGUGCCACCUCUUGUUGCACCAAAUCCAGCACCAAGAAAGACUUUGGUCAGUAACUUUCUAAUACUUCCGUUACUACUUAUUUUAAUUAUUAUAUAUAUAUAUAUUCUGUCAUUUAGAUUUUCUGUCGAUUGAUUCUGUGACAUAACACAUUAUUUUUCUCAAAUUUCUAGAGUUAACCCUUGUCAUGAGUGACAGUCAAUAAGACUGGUAGUAUUUAUAUAUUAAAUUUUUAUCUCAUUAUUUCUAGAGUUUUGAUGGAUGUUUCAAUCAUGUUGGAUUAUUUUUUAUGAACUUGGCAGCCGAGAAGAAAGUAGAAAGCUGUGUGAACACGUGUGAUCAAAUAUGCAUGAAAGCUUAAGAAGCCAAAAAGAUGAAAGGAGAAAGAGCUGGGAUUGGCUUCAAUGAAUAAACAAAAAUCAGUGGUUAAAAAAAAACCAUUGGUUUAAAAGCCAUAUUCCAAAUUUAAGCGCAUAUAUAUAUAUAUAGUCUCAAGGUUGUUCACGUUAUGCUUUACUCAAUAUGAAAAAAAAUACGGUUGUAGUGCUUUUUCUAUGAUUAUAUGAGAAAAUGAAGUGUUAUGCUUUACUUUUACCAAUGUCUAUUCAUUAAUUACAUAUUUAAGUGUGUGUGUUUGAAGUGGUGUUGUAAUUAAGAGAUAUAUAAUUAAUAAUCUCACAAUCAUAUACUUUAUUUAUUCUAUUAAAAUCCUACCAGAAUUAAUCUAACACAAUAUUAGAAAACCUAAAGAGAGGUCAUCUUUGAUCACAUAGACUAAAAAAAUAUAGUCAUUAGUUCCUAGAAAGACGGUGUUAAUUUUUCUUCUAUUGAAGUAUUAUACGAAACCUAUUUGGGUUUGUCGUCAAGUAGUUGAUAUGUGCCUUUGUACCCCUACUUAUCUAUAUCUUCCCAUUCAUAUAUACAUUUCUUCAAAAAUUUAAUAACUCAUCCAAAAAUUAUUUAUCCUAAUUAAUUUCAUACUAUUUUUUUGGUGUGAGAAUUUCCUCGUAAUAAUAUAUAAUCCCUAAACCGUCAAAGUUAUGAUUAACAAACAAAUAUUAGGGUUUAGGAUUUAACUUCUGCAACACUUCCACUAUUUUCAGUCGGAGGUACCAAGCGAAUUCCAGCAAAAGGAUUUGAAGAUGGGGCAGAAGCAGUAGAACCACGACGUACUUUGACAAUUCUUCUUAUGGCUAGCACCUCUUCACUAGUACUUAGUCUACCGACACUUUUUCACAAAAGCCCAAAAGUGAUUUUUAAUUUUUUUUUUCUGUUCAAUUAAUUAACUUUUCCAUGCACAUAUCUUCAAGAAAAUAAAUAUAUUUAUAUUUUGAACGUUUCAUUUUAGAAAUAUUUUGAGAGAGGUUUUUUUCUAAUAAAUAAUGAAAAAUACUCUAAAGCGCUUGGGUGAGAAAGUAGUAAUUAUAAUAUAAAGCAAUAUGUUUGAGAAAGUUUAUUUUUCUAAUAAAUCAAAAAUACUCCAAAGUGCUUCGGUGAGAAAGUGAUAAUUAUAAUAUAAAGUGAAUUUGAGUUGGUUGUUUAAAUAUUUUAAGGGUGUAAAAUCAAAGUGGUCGAUUUUAAGCAUUUGGACUAAGUUAUUUUCUUCUCUAUAUACAAUAAUCUGUGGAAGGUAGUUCUUAUGAAUUUCAUGUUUGCAACUCUUUAAGGUUAUGUUACCUAAAAUUGGAGCUGAUAAUAAUUUUAUUUUUUUAUUAAAAAUUUUAAAAAUAAAGAUAAUGCUUAUAAACAUUACUUAUUACUUAUUACUUCUUCCUUGAAUUCCAAGUUCUAUAUUUUGUUAUUAACUUUGUACUGACGUUCAAAAUAUUUUUAAAAACGAGUAUAAAAAUAGUAGUUUGUUUUUAAAAAUAUUUGUUGGUUUUAAUAAUUUGACUAGAAAUUUUGAAUUACUUUUUUCAAAAAAGAUGAAACCUAUAAUUAAGAGUUAGUGCCAAACAACCAUUGCUUUCAACAACAUAAGAUUGAAACAAUUAUAAAAAGAUCUAAGUGUAUAAUGAGUUGUUUGGUGAAAAAAAAGGUAACUAUAAUUUGAAAGGCAAAGUAAAGAAAGAAAAAGGAACGUAAAUGGUAAAGGAGAUAUUUAAUUAUAACGCCGUUCUCCAUACUAAACCUUAAGAAAAGAAAAAAGAAAAACGACGUGUAAUAAUAUAACUAAGCAUCAUGAUAUACUUAUACUUUCGAUAGAACAAGUAUAGAGAAGAAAAUGGAAAUCAGAAGAAACCUAAAUUAAAAAGAAGAAAGGUAAUUAUUAAAUGAAACUGUCCUAAUAUAACCAUUCUUUUAAACGAUAAAUGAGUAAAGAUUAAGAAGUUCGUAUGCAUACUUUUCUAUGGAAUAGUUUCUUGACGUGAAAAAGAGAGGUUAAAUUAAUAUAUCUUAUUAAUUUGUACUAUUCAAUUUUUUGCAUCAUUUUGUUUUAAUUAAAAGUCUAUUUUGAACCGUAAAAAUAAUAAAUAUAUGAUGGUUAAAUUAAGUUUUUUAAGAUUUAAAUAUAUUUAAUGUUAAAUCUAUCUAUUUUGGAUGUGUGAAACAAGUGAUUAUCUUUUUUAAAAAGUGAUUGAUAUACUUAAAUAGAAGAAUGUCUUGUAUUGUUGCAAAAUAUAGCAAUUAGAUCCAAAAUAAUUAAGUAUAUGACAACAUUUUAACAAAAUUGUAAAUAUAGUAAAAUCUGUCAAAGUCUAUCAAUGAUAAUAGUCUAUCACUUAUAAACUAUGUUACAAAUAUUGGCCUAUUACUGAUAAACUCUAAAAGUCCAUCAACAAUAGAAAUCUAUCAUAGAUAAAUUUUGCUAUAUUUGUAUUUUUUUAAAGAAUGUUCCUAUAUACUGUACUUAAUUAUUAUUCCUAAAAUUUCUACUAAUAAAAUGUCAGUUCAUCUAUUUAUUUUAUACUAAUAAAAUUCUUUAUGUCGAAUGAUAACUCGGCUAAUUAAGUGAAGGAUCAUGUUCUACUGAAAAAUAAAUAAAUAAAUAACUGCAACAUAGUUUAUAUCUAGGUUUAAUAAUUUAUGCAUAUGGUAAUAUUUUGAAAAAAAAAUACAAAUAUAACAAAGUAUACUAAUCCUCUUAAUUGAAGUGGUCUAGGUAUAUGUGUGUUUAUUUGUUAUAUAUACAACUAAAAAAAUCAGUUGAAAAUGUCAAAGAUAAUUUGAGGGUAUGUUUAAUUAAGUAAAUUUGUGUAAUGGCAACUUUGUAAACUACAAAUGGAUCUUCCACAUUCGUAGGGCUUUAACGACUAUUAAGCCAUUAGAGGAAAUUAAAAUUUGUCAAAAACCAUGAGGGGAUCGAGGAAAUCGUGGCAGUAUGUCAUCGUAAGUCGUUCGUUUUCCGAUAAUAUCGUAAUGAAUACCGUUUCAUCCUCAAUCCGAUUUGUAGGGCCGUGGUUUAAAUUAAGAGUGCUUAUUUUUUGCAAUAUAUAUACAGUGUGUGUGUGAGUUUUACUCAAACUUAUUUUCUAUAAAACAAGUGUUGAACUAUAUAUAAAUUUGAACAAAAAAAAAUUGAAAUUGAGAAUAAAAUGAAAUCAAUUGUAAUUUGUUUGAUUGUUCUUAGCUUAUUUGGUGGAGGAUCCACAGCAACAUUGAAAGAUUCCCCUAUGGAUACCAACCAUGUGGUUGAUGCUCGUAAAUUUUGCAGACUUGGUUGUUCCCUUUCUCUCUGCACCAAUCUUUCCACACCAGAAAACUUGAGUGAGCUAAUUUCUAGUACUCUUGUAGUAUGUCUAUUUUAAUCUUGUAACUCUUUUGGGCUUCUAUAAUAUUGUUCCUUUCACAUGGCUUUUUUGAUUAUAUUCAUGAAUGUCACAUUCUAAUUGAGUUAUUCGGAUCCACCUAUUGAGUCACAUUUUCUUUUCUUUUCAACAAAAAAACAAUGAAGUUUUAGGUCGAUUGGUGAUUCGAUGUUUCUUUUUAUAUUUUAAGCACUAGUACUAGUGUUGGCAAACAUUUUCGCAAUGAAAAUAAUUUCAUUGAGGAAGACAUUGUUUGCUGGCAUGCAUGGAGCAGAAAAUGUCAUUAGAGGUUAUAUAUCUUACUCAUGACUAACAUUCAAUUAGAGUAGUAUUCAUAUACAAAAUUUUCAUCUCGAACUCACAAUCAAUGAGAGAAUAGUAACAUUAUUAGUAUAUACUAAAAUCUGGUCCCUUUCUUUAAUCAUUUUCUCUAGUUUUGAUGGAUGAUUAUCUUUUUUUUUAAUUAUUUUAUUUUUCUUUAUUAAAUUGGCAGAUAUUGAGAAAGUAGACAGUUGUUUUAAGGGAUGUGAUCAAACGUGCAUGAAGUACUGAUGCUAAAGAAUAGAAGAUGAAGUGUCCUGAGAGGAGAAAAGGAACAAGGAUUGGCUUUUCAAGAUAUACCUAUCAUAUAUGAAUAAACAAAAUUCAAUGGUGAAAAUUAAAACCAUUGGCUUAAAAGCAUAUUAUUUCAUAUUUAAGCAUAUGUUUUGUUU